rnacentral:snRNA from 1 species
GUGCUUGCUUUGGCAGCACAUAUACUAAAAUUGGAAUGAUAUAGAGAAGAUUAGCAUGGCUCCUGUGCAAGGAUGACAGGCAAAUUUGUGAAGCAUUCCAUAUUUUU